GUGCCAGCAGCCGCGGUAAUACGUAGGUGGCAAGCGUUGUCCGGAAUUACUGGGCGUAAAGGGCGUGUAGGCGGCCUUUUAAGUCAGACGUGAAAACCCUGGGCUUAACCCAGGACCUGCGUUUGAUACUGAAGGGCUUGAGGACCGGAGAGGACAGUGGAAUUCCCAGUGUAGCGGUGAAAUGCGUAGAUAUUGGGAGGAACACCAGUGGCGAAGGCGACUGUCUGGACGGCACCUGACGCUGAGGCGCGAAAGCCAGGGGAGCAAACGGGAUUAGAUACCCGCGUAGUCC
rnacentral:rRNA from 1 species